CCAAUAGCGUAUAUUAAAGUUGUUGCAGUUAAAAAGCUCGUAGUUGAAUUUCGGGAUCAGUACGCCGGUCGUGCCUUCGGUAUGUACUGGUGUCACUGAUUCCUCCCUUCUGAAGAACCGUUAUGCCAUUUAUUUGGUGUGACGGGGAAUCAGGACUGUUACUUUGAAAAAAUUAGAGUGUUUAAAGCAGGCUCGCGCUUGAAUACAUUAGCAUGGAAUAAUGAAAUAGGACGUUUGAUCUUAUUUUGUUGGUUUCUAGGAUCGACGUAAUGAUUAAUAGGGAUAGUUGGGGGCAUUAGUAUUCAAUUGUCAGAGGUGAAAUUCUUGGAUUUAUUGAAGACUAACUACUGCGAAAGCAUUUGCCAAGGAUGUUUUCAUUAAUCAAGAACGAAAGUUAGGGGAUCGAAGACGAUCAGAUACCGUCGUAGUCUUAACCAUAAACUAUGCCGACUAGGGAUCGGAUGAUGUUAUUUUUAAUGACUCAUUCGGCGCCUUACG
rnacentral:rRNA from 1 species